UGGGGAAUAUUGGACAAUGGGCGAAAGCCUGAUCCAGCCAUGCCGCGUGUGUGAAGAAGGUCUUCGGAUUGUAAAGCACUUUAAGUUGGGAGGAAGGGCAGUAAGCGAAUACCUUGCUGUUUUGACGUUACCGACAGAAUAAGCACCGGCUAACUCUGUGCCAGCAGCCGCGGUAAUACAGAGGGUGCAAGCGUUAAUCGGAAUUACUGGGCGUAAAGCGCGCGUAGGUGGUUCGUUAAGUUGAAUGUGAAAGCCCCGGGCUCAACCUGGGCACUGCAUCCAAAACUGGCGGGCUAGAGUAGGGCAGAGGGUGGUGGAAUUUCCUGUGUAGCGGUGAAAUGCGUAGAUAUAGGAAGGAACACCAGUGGCGAAGGCGACCACCUGGGCUCAUACUGACACUGAGGUGCGAAAGCGUGGGGUGCAAACAGG
rnacentral:rRNA from 1 species